GCGAGGGCGCGCGGCGCGGCCCUGGGCUUGGGGGAAAGCGGCCACCAGGGCUGGCCUCCGCGGCUCCGCGCCUCUCCCCCGGCCUCUCCUGCCCCGCGGCGUCCAACCUGCGCCGCCAGGGCCCCGCGGACCUGCCAGCCCGAGGCCAAGAGUGGAAUUGCCCUGCCGCUUUCCCGGGCUUGGCGGAGGGGAUCCCGGCGGGGAGCUCGGCGCUCGCGAUGGCGAUGCGCAGCGAGGAAAGGCGAGGAGCUGCGUGCGGGCUGGGUGCCCUCGGAGCGCCGGGAGGCGGGGAGCGCCCGCCGCCGGGCCGGGGGAUGCUGCCGCUUGGGAACCCCCGCGGCGAAGUCCCUCCAUCUCCGCGGGGCUCCAGCACAGAGGUCGGGGCUGCAGGCCCUUUGGCCUUGGAUGGAAAGUGGGAAAUGGGGCGCGGGGCUGCGGACCCCCUAACGUGGAUUACUUGGUGCGUGUCAGCCGGGCUCAGAAGACCCACGACCUCGUCUCCAUCCUCGGAUUGAUUCAUUCCACCUGGCAGUCGGGCCGCUUUACCUGGAGGUGAAACCAGACGUUUGAGGCUGGCCUGCGUAGGUGCUCCGAACCAAGAGAGAAGGGCAAGACACAAAGGCCUGGAGAGGAGGGGCGGCUAAGGGCUGCUCUUCCUUGCCCACACGUCCCGCCAGGAAGCCGGGCGGGGCUGGCGUGUGCCGCCAGGAUCCCCGGGAAGGACCCGGCUAAGAUGGGACCAUCUCCUAAGAGGCAAGCGCUCUGGAUCUGAUUAAGACUUCCUCUUCUGGAGAAUGAAGAACGUUCUAGAUUGGAGAGGACAUUGGAGGAGAAAGUAAAGACUCGUGCACUGAGGAGUAGUCUGUGUCUGGACCCGCGUGAGCCGGACGUGACCUGCAUAUAGCUGGCGAGACACCAUCGUCACAGACCUCGUCCUUCCUUCUUGUGGGAGACAUUCCCUGUACCGUCGCCUGGUCUUAAGACUCCGCCCCCCGCUCCGCGCCCCAACCCCCGGGAACCACAGGGCUUUCUACCGCACCCUUUGUCUUGCCCCCCGGCUCCCCCGUCUUCUGUGCCUUUGGACGCAGUCAUUCUUGUUUGCUCCAUUAUCCUCCAGCCGGAUACAGAGUGAAUAGUUAACUACACUUAGGUCAAAUGGGAUUUUAAUUUUCGUUCCUGUUCCUUCUAAAGCGGCCGGUGUUUGCGUUGCUCUGUGAGCAACAUUGGAAUAGCACGUCCUCUCCCUUAUUUGGGAUCUGGCCCCCUGGGGUUCCAGAGCGAGGCAGGUGAGUGCUGAAGUUCUUCAGGGCUCUCCAGUGUCAGGGACACCGGAGGGGCUCCUGCAGGGGAGCUGGCUCAGGACGGCUGGCGUCCUCCGUGUCCAGCUUCUUUCGUUCAGAUCACAUGCAGGUGUAUGUCUGGAAGAGUGAAAAAGACGAUUUGUUCAUCCCAGCUACCUUCUACCUUUUUUAAACUGUAUUUUUGACAUAUAACUGACAUACUGUUAUGCUUGUUUCCCACCUGUCUUCUGUUGAGGCAGAUGCACCGCCCGCUAUGAAGACCCUCUCCCCCCCCCCCCCCCCCCCCACCUCGCAGGUGGCAGUUGGGACCCAUGCCAGAACAUGGUGCUUCCUUACAGACAAUCUGGCUGCCAGAGCUGGUGUGUUUAUUGAGGAUCCUCGUCCCCCAGAAUGCCGAUGACACUCCUGACGGCAGGUUGGGCCCCGUGAAACACGAGUCAAAUAUUCUGUCACCACCGUGCGCGUGGCUGAAAGCACUUCUAGAUUCGAUCUUGUCUGCGUUGCAGAGCCAACGAUGUCUGCACGUCCUGCUUCCCCAAAAAAUGGAUGGCUCAUUUUUGUAGAAAGAAUUAAAGCUGUACAUAUCCACCUUCUCUAUGUUGUAGGUGAUGGGUUUCUGUGACCGUUUAGUGACUUUGGUGUCUUCUAAGGGGAACAACGGGGACCUUCUUGGCAUCUCAGAUUCACCACAAAAUGAGGGAGGGGACCCUCUUGAGGAAAUUUCAUGCUGUUGAAAUGUGAAGCUUGUCUGUGGGCUUUGCCUUCCUUCCUUGACAUGCACACAGACUCCUCGUCCUGGUUAGAUUCCUUCAGGUUUCAAGGAACAGAGAUCCACUUACAUCACUUCCGUGAAUGAGGGUUUAUUCCAAGUUGCAUUGGAAUGGAAGUAAGGUAGACAGGAAACAGUCUACCCAGCAGCUGCCUGGCAAGACGUGUCUAGAAGCCCAAAGUCAUUCAAGAUAUCCAUUCGCUACAGAGUUUCCAGGAAGAGCAGGAACUCUGACACCUUGGUCAUUUUGACCUUCUGUUCAGCAGCAGGAAUCACUGCUCCUGCUUCUCGCAUUCGGAGCUGUUCCAGUUUGCCCAGGGCUGAGCAGUUUUCCGGGACACACGACUUUCAGCAAUAAACCUGGGACAGCCCUGGGCAAACCAGAAUAACCGUCACCCUAGUGGGUGACUUGAUGACACUGCCUUUGCUGCUGCUUUGCCUGCUGUAGCGAGCCGAUGCUCUCGAUUAGUCUGGCCAGCUGCCAUUCGGAACCCUUGUGUCUGACCACGUCAUUGACCACCGGGUAGGCUACAGAUGGAUGCCAUUGGAUCAAGCACCAAUCUUGACCAAAUCUGGUGUUUCCAGGGUGGUGGGGUUCCAUGAUACUGAACAAAAACCUGGGUGUCAUGAACCAGUCGAGACCACAUGCUUCAGAAGAAGUGCUGUGGGUAGUGGAUAUGGCAGCCAUUCAAAGUAUCAGGGAUUCCUCUCCAAUACAGUCCUACUUAAAAAGAUGAACCUAACCCUUCAUAUUAAGAACAAAGCAAAUCAGUAGGAAACAAAAACAGCUACCGGGAACAGGAGAAAACAGACUACGAUGUGUGCAUGCGCAUGCGUGUGAGAUACACGCACAUACCACAUAGAAUAAGCCAAGAAGAAAAUUAUGCAUCUUUGCAAGAUGGAGGCUAAGAGCUAAUAAUCAUUGGGAUGGAUGGGGCACCUGGGUGGCUCAGUCGGUUGAGCAUCCGACUUCGGCUCUGGUCACAAUCUUGCUCGUGGGUUCAAGCCUUGCGUCAGGCUCUGUGCUGAUGGCUCAGAGCCUGGA